UACGUAGGUGACCAGCGUUGUCCGGAUUUACUGGGCGUAAAGAGCGCGCAGGCGGUCGUUCAAGUCGAGUGUGAAAGCCCCCGGCUCAACUGGGGAGGGUCACUCGAUACUGAUCGACUUGAAGGCAGGAGAGGGAAGCGGAAUUCCCGGUGUAGUGGUGAAAUGCGUAGACAUCGGGAGGAACACCAGUGGCGAAGGCGGCUUCCUGGCCUGUUCUUGACGCUGAGGCGCGAAAGCUAGGGGAGCAAACGGG
rnacentral:rRNA from 1 species